UAGAAAGUUGGCAGUUACAGAUGGAGAAACUUAGUAAUUGUUUUCUGUCUUCACCACAAUACCUUCUACAAGAUUUGAAAGCCGCCUCUCACCACCUCCUCUUCUCUCCAGCACCUGUACCCCUGCGGAGGGGAAGUUCCGGAGAAGAGGAAACCCCCAGGGCAACCAGGCACCUCACAGAUGGAAAUGAGAGAAGACAAAGACCUGCUGUUUACGAUGUUGCCCCCAGAGGCUACAGCUGGUUUUACACUUUACACGUACACGUCCACGACAAACAUGCAUGGACCCGGGCAGUCGGGUCUCCAGCUGUCUGCAACCAAGUAAUCCAAAUUUAAGUGAGCAGACCUAGCUGCUGAGUUUUGCUGAGAUACAAUAAGGUGCAGCCCAGUUUGAGCUUCAAGUCCAUUAAAAGGUACGGCUAGACAGACAGACAAUAGUGACGGCUUCACACGUAAAGGAUGAGAUCAGCAGUCGAUAUGUAUCCAUUCAGAUGCCAUGGGAACUCUCUCUCCUCCCUCUCUUCCUUAUCACUCUUUCUUUCCUCUUCUCCUGCUCUGGUCUGCCUCACAGCUUCCUGUGUCACCCUCCCCCACCUCGUUAAAAGGAGAGCGAGAGAGAGAGAGACCUGUUCAUUCAUGCAUUCAGUCAGUCAGCUGAGCAAAGAGUGAGGGAGGAGAGGAAGAGAGAGAGAGAAAAUGAGAGCGGGAUAGAGGAGGAGAGGCGAGGAAGGCUUCCUCCCUGCGAUGAAUAGGUCACCUGUAUUACAUCACUGAUGGGGGAUGGAGCAGUGGAAAAGAAAAAAGCUAAAGUAUGAGUCACAGACAGACUAGUUCCCUUGAUGCACUGCGGAAACGUAAUGUGACGUAGCCUCCACCUCUCCCUAUCUCGCCACACACAUCCCUCCAUCGCUCUCAUUCAUUCGUCCGCCGCUCCCUCCCAUUCAUCCAUCCUACUGUCUGAGCACAGCAAGCCUCCAUUCACAAAAAGCCCUGCAAGCCGAGGAAGAGACGGCAGGUGGACUUACGACGCCAGGACACACAAACCGUCACGCAGUACGAUGACAUACAUUUCAUUAAAACACUGUAACAGUAACAGAUUAAAAAAGAUUUGUUGAAUAGUAUAGAUUCAUAUCACGUGAUUCAGGGCAUCUGUUUGAAAUUCAUCGCCACAAAGAGCAGGCGAGAAAAAAAAAAGUCUUGCCAGAUGUAAUGACUGUUUUUACCUCAGAUGUGAGCUCGUUUCACAAUUACUUUUUAGUGCAUGUUGUGGAAGAUUUACUGUUGCCAUGGUUACAGCAUGUGCUGUCAAAUAUGAGUGAGACUGCCAAGAGCAGUGAUUUGUUACAGCAAUUAGGCUGUUGUCAGAAAGUGUGUUAGAGGUGUCCCAUUGUGAAGGAAAAAAAUUGACUUGCAGCGUAAAACUGUGGCUGAGGAGAGAAAUUAGAUGCAGUGUUAAGCACAUUCUCCAGUUCAGCAACUACAAUUUUAAAAAAUGGGAAUAAAAUAUAACAGAAACUAUAUGGCACCUCACAUCUUAAGGAUAGAUGUAGUAAUCUACCGCCUUGUCGAGCAUCCAUAUGUAGUUUGAGACGACAGGCGGAGCAGAUACAUACAGUAGUUUGAAGACAAAGAAGUCAGGUGACUUCACGCUCUCGUCCCUGACGUCACUGAAUCGCUUCGUCUCUGCGGGUCUGAUUUGGCCGCGUGUUAUUAACCCACGGCAUUCACAGGCACGACACAACGCAGACAACACGGCGAGUUCGCCCUUUGUGACGGAAAAUUCAGAAACAUCUGGAGAACGUAAGCUGUCAGCAGUCUGUGGAAGAAACCAGGGUCGGUUAUUCCACCAGAGGAGGAGAUGUGAUGACAAUACAUUACUGUUAACGACUGAAAGAAAUCUGAAUAUGAUAUUUUUAUGGUAAAUGGCUGAGAUCGGGUGGGCUAGACACAUAGACAGCACUUUUUUAGUGUACUGGCCUUUUUUAUAUACAGCACAUUGUAUUCAUUAUUGAUUGAGUGACAGAAGAACAAUGGUGCAUUUCCUGUAAAACGUAUAACCAAUCAAUAUAUAAGAGUCACAGUCACAGCAGCCAUGAAAAAUGCCUAGGUAGUGUUGAAACAUGAACUUCAUUUUACCACUGCACUCAUAUCAACAUGGAAAAGAGGCAACAUAUUCUGGCUCCCACCUAAGAUACCUUAAAUGAUAUAGAAUUCUCAGUUAAGAGACUACUCUUAAUCUUAAUGUGUACUUUUAACCCAGAGAGACAUUUCUCCAAAACUGAACAAGCUUUCAAACAAGCCGAUGAUUAUUUGAGGGGGAAAAAAAAGUGGCAUUUCGAGCACAUUCGCAUGGGCGUCCGAAGCAGAGCAUAUUUCCCCGAACAUAAUCAGAGGGUCAUUUUAUUCCAUUACAGUAUAAAUGUUAAAAUGGAUGAUGUCACUCAAGCAACAAACAUGAGAAGAAGCCAUCAAAAGACGAGCGCUUCAGCGACUUUAGGAGGAUUUCAUGAAUGAACGGGUAACAUUUGGGUCUAUCCUGCUGGCUGGCUGAGGAGCCGAGCGGAGAAAAUCUCAACGUACAGUAUGAUUCACCACAACAAAGUGUUUGGGAGGGGGUGAUGAUGUCAUCGGUGGCGGUGGUGGGGAGUCAUCUGUGAGUCAGAGAGGAAAAAGAAGAGGAGGAGAUGGAGGAGGAAGAGGAUAAGGAAGAGAGGUGAGUAAAAAAAAAAAAGCACAUGGAGAGGUGGGGUACCUGCUGUGCAUGACCCAUGGUAACAAGCGAUGCUGGCCUGUGGAUGACUCACCUCAGCUUUAUCAACCUUGCACGCUCACAUCACGCGGGGAUGCUCACGCCAUCCGCCAUGAUACACAUGGACGGAAUAAUACAUCAUACACACUCUCAUAGCCUCCUUUGAUGCAUUCAAAGCAUCCCCGUUUAACAUAAAUGCACCUCCCUCCCUCACACACACACACGCUACAUAAUGUGCAGGGAGAGGAGGGGAGGGUCAGGAUGACUCACACUUCAAUGAUAACACUCCUCCCCCCAUGGCCUAGUCGCUCUCUCUCUCUCACACACACACACACACACA